rnacentral:rRNA from 1 species
AGUCGAGCGGAUAGAUCUUCGGAUCUAUGAGCGGCGGACGGGUGAGUAACACGUGGGUAACCUACCUUUUAGAUGGGGAUAACGCCUGGAAACGGGUGCUAAUCCCGAAUGGGAUCUUUCUUCGCAUGAAGAGAGAAGGAAAGGCGCUGCAAGGCGUUGCUAAGAGAUGGGCCCGCGGCGCAUUAGCUAGUUGGUGAGGUAACGGCCCACCAAGGCGACGAUGCGUAGCCGACCUGAGAGGGUGACCGGCCACACUGGGACUGAGACACGGCCCAGACUCCUACGGGAGGCAGCAGUAGGGAAUCUUCCGCAAUGGGCGAAAGCCUGACGGAGCAACGCCGUGUGAGCGAUGACGGUCUUCGGAUUGUAAAGCUCUGUCAAUUGGGACGAGCGGCAUGGAGAGGUAAUGCUCUAUGCGAGACGGUACCAGAGAAGGAAGCCCCGGCUAACUACGUGCCAGCAGCCGCGGUAAUACGUAGGGGGCAAGCGUUGUCCGGAAUGACUGGGCGUAAAGCGCGCGCAGGCGGUUUCUUGCGUCUGAGGUGAAAGA